rnacentral:rRNA from 1 species
AUUGAACGCUGGCGGCAUGCUUUACACAUGCAAGUCGAACGGCAGCGCGGGCUUCGGCCUGGCGGCGAGUGGCGAACGGGUGAGUAAUGCAUCGGAACGUGCCCAGUAGUGGGGGAUAGCCCGGCGAAAGCCGGAUUAAUACCGCAUACGACCUGAGGGUGAAAGCGGGGGACCGAAAGGCCUCGCGCUAUUGGAGCGGCCGAUGUCGGAUUAGCUAGUUGGUGGGGUAAAGGCUUACCAAGGCGACGAUCCUUCGCUGGUCUGAGAGGACGACCAGCCACACUGGGACUGAGACACGGCCCAGACUCCUACGGGAGGCAGAAGUGGGGAAUUUUGGACAAUGGGGGCAACCCUGAUCCAGCCAUGCCGCGUGCGGGAAGAAGGCCUUCGGGUUGUAAACCGCUUUUGUUCGGGAAGAAAUCCUCUGGGCUAAUACCCCGGGGGGAUGACGGUACCGGAAGAAUAAGCACCGGCUAACUACGUG